CAAACUCUGGACUCUGGAGGGAAAGUCCAAGGCCCACCCAACCACUUUCUGACUGAAGGCCGACUACAACAGACCUCAGGCAAAAUCCUGACAGAAGCAUGACUUCAACCUCACAGGAGUGCCCCACAACAGUCCCUCUGUACAAUCUUCGCCAAACACAAAGGUUUCAAGACACAAGAGGUUUCCGGCACAAGGCAGUUCACGUUCUGUGGCUCACUCCUUUUUCUACAUUGUGCCAAGGCAUGCCAAAAAAGCUUGGCUUUUUGAAAACGGCUACAGCAAGUCUGCCUUGGAAUUUGCCUGUGACUGGGAUUCUGCAGGCAACAACAGCAGCCUUGCAGCCAGCUGUGGAGGGAUGCAGGCUUGCUGGGACAUAGAACAAGAUGACCACGCACAUUUUUUCAAUACAUUAUGGUUGUAAAUAGCUCAUAACAAUUCUGUUAUACUGAACUCAUCCUGAAGGCAUCCUGGUACUUCACCUAAUAGAGUGUGCACCCUGUGUACUAAAGGCCAAGUCCUUCCCACAGCAGCCAAGGUUC